ensembl:rRNA 5S_rRNA 5S ribosomal RNA
UCCACGGCCACACCCCCCUGCACACGCCUGAUCUCCUCUAACCUUGGAAGCUAAGCAGGGUCGGGCCUGGCUAGUACUUGGAUGGGAGGAAAAAAUGGGGGUUGCAGCAGGAU